rnacentral:lncRNA from 10 species
CAAGGCCCCAGCGAACGGGGGUGGUGUUUCAUAGGGUAAAAGGAACUGCCCAUUCUGAGGUAGGGCAGUUGGUGAGCCCCCGAAGGUUGGAAUCUCCUCUUUGUGGGGUUAGGGGGUUUACCAGUGCCAGAAAGGAAGAGAGUGUUAAGAGUGGAAUUGUAGGGCUCUGUUUUGUUUUAUUUUGUUUGGGUUUCUUUUGUGGGGAGGGGUUGUUUUUUGGUUGGUUUUUUUGUUUUGUUUUUUGUUUUGUUUUGUUUUUGCUCUGUCUCAUUUCUGUUUCCAACUGGGAAAUUUUUUUUAAUGGCAAGAGAAAAAGAAGCUGUGAAAAGAGAAAAGCGAGAGGAAAAGUAGAAGAAAAAGAAAUAAGGGUGAGAAAAGAGCAGAGACAGGAGAAAAUGGGGAAGAGGAAGAACCGAUAGAG